rnacentral:lncRNA from 1 species
CUCUCCUUUCUCGAUCAAAGAUAAUUACUUAGCGAGCAUCAAAUAUUUUUAUACUUUGAUAGGGUGGCAUCAUGAUAUGUAGAUGUUCCAUUUUAACUAUUACUACAGCAUCAACUGUUGUGAAAUUGAAGUUAAUUUCAAAUUAGGCCAAAAAAUAUGUCUGGUCACCACAACUUUUUUGGGCCAACAGGAAGGGCUUCCUAGUUGCAUUCUCUCCUGCCUAAAUAAAUUAGUAUUUAGAGUCCAAGUUUCAUGAAUUCGACAUGAUGUGAGGUAUACAUAGUAUAAACAUAUUGUUUUUGCUACACAAUGC